AACGAACGCUGGCGGCAUGCCUAACACAUGCCAGUCGAACGAGACCUUCGGAUCUAGUGGCGCACGGGUGCGUAACGCGGGGGAACCUGCCCUUAGGUUCGGGAUUAUUCUUCGACGGGGGUGCUAAUACCGGAUAAUGUCCGCGGAUACAAGAUUUGUCCCCUGUGUUGGGGCCCGCGUUGUUGUGGCUUGUUGGGAUGGUAAAAGCCUACCAAGGCUUAGAUCCAUAGCUGGGCUGAGAGAAUGAGCAGCCACACUGGGGCUGUGACACGGCCCAGAAUCUUACGGGAGGGAGCAGUGGGGAAUAUUGGACAAUGGGCGAAGGCCUGAUGCAGCUAUGCCGCGUGAGUGAUGAAGGCCUUAGAGAUGUAAAGCUCGUUUACCCGGGAUGAUAAUGACAGUACCGGGAGAAUAAGCUCCGGCUAACUCCGUG
rnacentral:rRNA from 1 species